AAAAUUUUAGUUUAAUAUAAAAUAUUUCAUUUACAAUGAAAAGAUUUAAAUAAUUUAAAAAUUUUAA
rnacentral:tRNA from 1 species